rnacentral:rRNA from 1 species
GAUUAACGCUGGCGGCGUGCAUAACACAUGCAAGUCGAACGAUGAAACUUAAAUGAUUUCUUCGGAAUGAACUUAAGUGGAUUAGUGGCGGACGGGUGAGUAACGCGUGAGUAACCUGCCUUACACAAGGGGAUAUCCGUUGGAAACGACCAAUAAUCCCCUAUGAAACUAUCACUUCGCAUGAAGCGAUAGUCAAAGUGUUAGCGGUGUAAGAUGGACUUGCGUCUGAUUAGCUAGUUGGUGAGAAAAAAGCCCACCAAGGCAACGAUCAGUAGCCGGCUUGAGAGAGUGUACGGCCACAUUGGGACUGGGGCACGGCCCAGACUCCUACGAGAGGCAGCAGUGGGGAGUUUUGCACAAGGGGUGAAAUCCUGAUGCAGCGCGGCCGCGUGAUUUAGAAGGCGUUCGGGUUAUAAAAUUGUUUUGUAUAGGAAGAAGAUGACAGUACUAGACGAAUAAGAUACGGCUAAUUACGUG